rnacentral:rRNA from 1 species
CCUACGGGAGGCAGCAGUGGGGAAUUUUGGACAAUGGGCGCAAGCCUGAUCCAGCCAUGCCGCGUGUGGGAAGAAGGCCUUCGGGUUGUAAACCACUUUUGUCAGGGAAGAAACGGCCUUUACUAAUAUUAGGGGCUAAUGACGGUACCUGAAGAAUAAGCACCGGCUAACUACGUGCCAGCAGCCGCGGUAAUACGUAGGGUGCAAGCGUUAAUCGGAAUUACUGGGCGUAAAGCGUGCGCAGGCGGCUUUGCAAGACAGAUGUGAAAUCCCCGGGCUCAACCUGGGAACUGCAUUUGUGACUGCAUGGCUAGAGUACGGUAGAGGGGGAUGGAAUUCCGCGUGUAGCAGUGAAAUGCGUAGAUAUGCGGAGGAACACCGAUGGCGAAGGCAAUCCCCUGGACCUGUACUGACGCUCAUGCACGAAAGCGUGGGGAGCAAACAGGAUUAGAUACCCUGGUAGUCCACGCCCUAAACGAUGUCAACUGGUUGUUGGACGGCUUGCUGUUCAGUAACGAAGCUAACGCGUGAAGUUGACCGCCUGGGGAGUACGGCCGCAGGUUGAAACUCAAAGGAUUGACGG